UACGUAGGGUGCGAGCGUUACCCGGAAUUACUGGGCGUAAAGCGUGCGCAGGCGGUUUUGUAAGUCAGAUGUGAAAUCCCCGGGCUCAACCUGGGAAUGGCAUUUGGGACUGCAAGGCUCGAGUGCGGCAGAGGAGAGUGGAAUUCCUGGUGUAGCAGUGAAAUGCGUAGAUAUCAGGAGGAACACCGGUGGCGAAGGCAGCUCUCUGGGCUGGCACUGACGCUCAUGCACGAAAGCGUGGGGAGCAAACAGG
rnacentral:rRNA from 1 species